AACCCGACAGUUUAAAUAAGUGUCUUACGAUACGUUAUUACAACGCACUACCGAUUCCAUUCUCAAUUGUCUCUUAAGAGACAAAAGAACAACAUCACUUAUGCAACUGCAGACAGCUGCUUAAUACAGUCACACUUGUCUUGACUUGGCGCUAUUACCACACGAUUUCAAGCUUGUUUAUACACUGAGCCUUAUGGCUCUAUUUAAACAAUGCUCUGACUAACCCUAUCCUUAUGGAUAACUCAGGGAAAGUUUGGCUAAUACAUACGAGAUUAUACAAUACACACACACUUUGUUUGGGAUGUAUUUCCCAUUCAUUUUGUACUAAUCUACACUUCUCUGCACUCAAUGGUUGAGCUAUGGUGUCAAUUCUUGACAUCAGUCACUAGUUCAAACGCAACAUGAGAGACAUUGAGCACGCUUCGUACUAGCUUCUUAUUCUUAAUAAGGGCUUUUACAUUAAACGCUGAGCAGACUUUACGAAGAUUUCUUUGUGAAGCAUGUCAUACAAGCAUCUACAGCAUCAAGUCACAGGGUUGGCAAGUGUAUUUUUGAACCUUCAAAGCAGUCACGCAUACGGAAGAGUAGUUUCUGAUCCCAUAGAAGGAGCACCGUACAAUGAGAGACCGCUCUUAGUUCUAAGGAACGCAGCAGGCGCGUAAAUUGCCCAAUGACAGUACCCUACGAUCUCUUAACUCGUUAAGAAUUCGAUACAUAUUGAAUCAUUGCAAUUGAAUACGCAACACACACACACGAGAAUGGUAUCUGUGUUAUUGUUAACGUAUUUAGACAUCUAAACCUGUCUUUAUACUAAUAUCCUUGUCUUACCUGUUCUCUUUAUAAUUACUAACGUAUUCAGUUCAUCUUAUCUAAGAUAUCUAAUACGUUGAGGCAGUGACAAGCUGUAACGGUUGAGUAUUUUAAAUGACGAGUGUCUGGCAUUGCCGCUCUUUCGGGAGCUUGGCAAGUUGCCGACGCUUUGUGUGCUCAAUUGGAAUGCGGUGAGUUUAAGCAACUCAGAACCUUUUAAUGGUGUUUAUUAAUACAUUCACUAUUGACGUAUCUGAAUUUCGAGUGGAGGGCAAGUCUGGUGCCAGCAGCCGCGGUAAUACCAGCUCCACUGGCCUAUACAAUCAUUGUUGCGGUUAAGAGGCUCGUAGUUGGAUUGAACUACUAUAUAUUCUAUAUACGUAGUGUUACAUUCUCUUUAUUAACGUAAAGAAAUGUUCGACAUUAGAACUCUUUUAACAAUAUAAAGCUAACAGCAUUGUUAAAUACAACACGCUCUAUCUCUAUUGACGGUAUUACUACGUAUUCUUUGGAAUACCAUUCAACACUGUGAACAAAUCAGAGUGUAUCAAACAUGUUGUCUAACUUGUGCAUUGUAUGUCUUAUCAUGGGAUGUUGCACUCGUUAUAACAUUAGACACAUACAAUACUUUUUAACGUCUAAUGUUAGCUUUCUAAUCUUUAUUAGAAAAAUGUCGAUGGGGAUAGUUGGAGCCAACAGUACUGCUGGGCGAGCGGUGAAAUGCAUUGACCCUAGCAAGACUACCAAAAGCGAAAGCAGUUGGCUAGGCUAUACUCUUUGUGAUCUAUUCACUUCUUUUACGCUUUAACUUUUAACUCUUAAAUACACAUACUCUAUUAAAUAUUUUAACGCUUAAGUUUUUUAACGUUAAAAUAAUUUAUUCUAAAGAGAAAAGUUAAGGCGUAAAAAGAAUCUAUAGAAUAUCACUUUACAAUGAAGAACGAAGGUUGGGGGAUCAAAGAGGAUCAGAUACCCUCGUCGUCCCAUUUGUUACAUCAAACGAUGGACUCUCAAUUGCAAUUUCUGUUAUUCAGAUUGCUAAAUGCACCUCAACCUGCAAAUUAUUACUUGGCUCGAGCUCGUAUCUUUAUCUCGUAUAAAGUACGCUCGCCUAACUUUAAAUUUCGUACGGUCUCGAUGGACAUUUUGAUUUGAUAUCUUUUAUUCUGCGUGUAGGCUAUACAUGUUUAAUUGGCUUCUCUAUCUUUUAACCAAGAUUAGAACCGUUUACAUGGCGUGCACUUGAUUUUCUGAGCUUUGCGCUCAAUUCUGGUGAGAUGUAAGCACUCUGUUUAGCCUCCCGCGCUGUGUGUCUUCCUAAUACGAGGGCACUAACAGUUGUCGUGUGUGUGCUAUUAACAAUUUUUGUGUGAAGCACGCGUUAGGCACGCGCUUACUGCAGAAAUGUCUGAGACAUUCUCCUCCGGGGGUAGUAUGCACGCAAGUGUGAAACUUGAAGGAAUUGACGGAAGGGCACCACAAGAACGCGUGGAGCAUGUGGCUUAAUUUGACUCAACGCGGGAAAUCUUACCGGGUCCGGACACACUGAGGAUUGACAGGCAAUAUAUUAGCAUAAAGACUCGUCUUUAGCGCUAAUUGUUAAAUAUGCUAGUCCUUUCAUGAUUAUGUGAUAGGUGGUGCAUGGCCGUUCUUAGUUCGUGGAGUGAUCUGUCUGCUUAAUUGCGUUUCACUAAGGGCCCAUAAAUUCAAGGUAUGUUAGCAAAUGCUGCUCUAUUGACCCCUAAUAGGCUUAACUGUCUUUAGCGCGUGUCUCUACGAGUUCUUUAAAGCACUGCGCAUGCUGUUGGGUCCUGAAAGCAACGAACGUGACCGCAACGUCUUGUUGCCUCUCUAUAAUAUCUUCUUAUUAUUUUUAAUAAGAGUAUUUACCUGAGGCUAUUUUAAAACUAGACGGACCGCUGUUUCUUUCUUAAACCAGAGGAAGGUUGCGGCAAUAACAGGUCUGUGAUGCCCUUAGAUGUUCCGGGCUGCACACGUGCUACAAUGAUCAGUACAGUGAGCAUCUCAAUUUUAUAACACCGUAUUAAGCGCUUGGGUCGUAAUUGUUAGGCCUUUUAGGUUUUUUCAAUUGCGUUUCUCCAAUGCGCACGGUAAAGCCUGCUUCGAGAGUAAGUGGGUAAUCCAUUGGAAGUAAUGAUUUCCUUAUUUUUAUAAACAGCACACCAAUAUACGGCAUUCAUUCCCGAGACGGCUUAGUUCCGACUUUGUGCGAAUGUAAUGUAUUUUUAUCCGUAUGUGCGAUUGUCAAUUCAUGGUGGGGACAGACCAUUGUUAAUUGUUGGUCUCGGUCUUAACUAGGAAUGCCUUGUACGGGUCUUUGGUUCAACAAACCACCCGGAAUACGUCCCUGCCCUUUGUACACACCGCCCGUCGCUCUUACCGAUGGACUUCUUUGUGAGUCUUGGGGACUGGGUUAAGCGAUUUCUUUUUGAAUGAGCUCUACCUAUGGAAACCAAUACGAACAAUGUGGUCUAAAGGAAAGAGAAGUCGU
rnacentral:rRNA from 1 species